CUGAGAUCGAUACUUCUCGGCUGCCAUGACGACUGGGAGCGGAACAAGCUACUGCUAAGCGUGGCCCAGAGACAAGAGCACUGACUGAUUAUCAAUGAGAAAUGAGCAGGCUGAUCAUUGAGGAAAAAGAAAUACUGAGGAUGGACUUGGAGAAAUGUGGACUGUACAAGUAAAUGACGUGCCAGUAAACCAACAAGACCAAGCUGGAUGUUUCAGUAUGGUAAUUUGAAAUAACAGGAGGGUGCCAUGCUCUUAAAAAUAUGUUUUAAAAAAUUUCUGGCGAC